UUUUUUUUUUUUUUUUUUUUUUGAGACCAAGUCUUGCUCUGUUGCCCAGGCUGGAGUGCAGUGGCAUGAUCUCAGCUCGCUGCAACAUCUGUCUCCCCAGUUCACCCAGUUCAAGGGAUUCUCCUGCCUCAACUUCCUGAAUAGCUGGGAUAACAGGCAUGCGCCACCAUACACGGCUAAUUUUUGUAUUUUUAGUAGAGACGGGGUUUUCCCAUGCUGGCCACACUAGUCUCAAACUCCUGGCCUCAAAUGAUCCACCUGACUCAGCUUCCCAAAGUGCUGGGAUUACAGGCAUGAGCCACCGCGCCCGGCCGCAAGACCACAUUUCUACAAAAAAUUUAAAAAUUGGCCAGGCAUGGUAGUGAACAUCUGUAGUCCCAGCUACUCUGGAGCCUGAAGUGGGAGGAUUGCUUCAGCUCAGGAGUUCAAGGCUGUGGUGAGCUAUGGUCGUACCACUUCACUCCAGCCAGGGUGAUAGAAUGAGACCUCAUCUCAAAAAAAAAAAAAAAGAAAAAGAAAUCAUUAAAGAGAAAAAUCUGGCAUGCAGGCAUUAAGUUAACUUUAUAGGACACGGCAUAGCCCAUUCUUCUCCAUCUCCAGGCAUGUACAAGCUCACUGCUUUCUGUAUGUGGUUACCCUAUUCUGGAGCUGCACACCGAAGAUUUGGGGUAGAUGUGACAAUGCAGAGAAAUGUUUUUCAGUUGUGAAAAUCUCUUCUUUUUAUGUAUAUAAUCCCAUAUCAAUUAUUGGGGCUUUUCUGUACUUCCAGGAGGCACUGUCACCAAAAGACCUUUAGGAAAUCAAUCAGUGUGGCAGAAUAAAAAGACCACUGUUCGUCUUGCAGAGAAGGGCUGGUACAAAUGAAAGCAGCUGCUGUUCCUCCUUGCUACCAAUUGUAAACGUGAGAAGUCAGAGGUGUGGGUACAACAUCGAUCCUUCAGGCACUCUAUAAAUAUUAAUUGAAGGAAGGUGUUGAUAAGGCAAAGAAACUUAUACUUCUACAAAUGGUGACAGUCAAUGCUCCAGGCUCAAUUUUAAAAAGGAAAAGACAAACAAAGGAGUCCAGAUCAUUAGAAGGACUUUCUUGGCAGUGCUAAGUUACAGCCAUCAGCAGAGCAAGCCCUGGCUAAGGCUAAUGUCACAUAGUAAGAUGAUUUAUUCUUUCCCCUAAGUCAGCCUUGAAAAUACAUUUUUAAAAUUGCCUGUCCACAGCAUAGUUUUACUGUGACAAGGCACUCGGCUCCUUAACAUUCACCUGGCACAAUGCUCUCAACAGCGAAGCCAAGUGGCAGAAAGUGCUGGGCCACAUUGCCAGGGUACAUGCCAGUCGGUUCACCAGAGAGUUUGCGAACCCCAGCUCCUGGGCUCUGUCUGCUGCACUGACAUUCUAUUAAAUCCCAUAGACCAGAAAAAGCUUCAAUGCUUAGAUGCAAGAAAGAGCUGAAGUGUUAGUGGCUACUAAGCCCAGGACUCAGCCAUGACUAGGAACGGUAUCAAUGACCAGGGAAGGAUAUGGUGAGGCCGAGAUGCCA
rnacentral:lncRNA from 1 species